rnacentral:rRNA from 1 species
UACGUAGGGUGCAAGCGUUGUCCGGAAUUAUUGGGCGUAAAGAGCUCGUAGGCGGUUUGUUGCGUCGGCUGUGAAAUCCCGAGGCUCAACCUCGGGUCUGCAGUCGAUACGAGCAAACUAGAGUGUUGCAGGGGAGACUGGAAUUCCUGGUGUAGCGGUGAAAUGCGCAGAUAUCAGGAGGAACACCGGUGGCGAAGGCGGGUCUCUGGGCCGAAACUGACGCUGAGGAGCGAAAGCGUGGGGGAGCAAACAGG